GAUGAACGCUGGCGGCGUGCCUAAUACAUGCAAGUCGAGCGAACAGACGAGGAGCUUGCUCCUCUGACGUUAGCGGCGGACGGGUGAGUAACACGUGGAUAACCUACCUAUAAGACUGGGAUAACUUCGGGAAACCGGAGCUAAUACCGGAUAAUAUAUUGAACCGCAUGGUUCAAUAGUGAAAGACGGUUUUGCUGUCACUUAUAGAUGGAUCCGCGCCGCAUUAGCUAGUUGGUAAGGUAACGGCUUACCAAGGCAACGAUGCGUAGCCGACCUGAGAGGGUGAUCGGCCACACUGGAACUGAGACACGGUCCAGGCCCCUACGGGAGGCAGCAGUAGGGAAUCUUCCGCAAUGGGCGAAAGCUUGACGGAGCAACGCCGCGUGAGUGAUGAAGGUCUUCGGAUCGUAAAACUCUGUUAUUAGGGAAGAACAAAUGUGUAAGUAACUAUGCACGUCUUGACGGUACCUAAUCAGAAAGCCACGGCUAACUACGUG
rnacentral:rRNA from 1 species